UCUCGAUCUCCUGACCUCAUGAUCCACCCGCCUCGGCCUCCCAAAGUGCUGGGAUUACAGGCGUGAGCCACCGCGCCCGGCCGCCAGCCCUGUUUCUUAAAGGGCUCCACCUAGAGGCCAAUAAUCCAAUUAGGAGAUUGGCAAAUGAAAGAUCUUAUGGUGACUGGGUUUUCUUCUGCCUGUCUCUGUAGCUAUAUAUGUGUUGUGUGUGAUGACUAUAAAAAGACCUCUAAUUGACCUAAAGGAAGAUAAGCGCUUAGAUCAAAUAUUUUUUAAAGGGAAGAUAAAAAGCUGUGGUACCUUUCAGUUCAUGUGACUUUAAUCUUUGAGAAAUAAAAACAGUAUUAAAGAUUACUGGCUAAAAGCAGAUGUUGUCAAAAUAUAAAUAGAUUGGCUAAAUUAUGCAGGUCAGGUGCCGGGUUUGCUAAAUGUUUUAAGGUUAUAAGCUGCUUUUUGGAUUUUGACAACUGUUUGACUUGCCUUCUCCACAUUUGGUAAGGCCUGAGGACAUACAGAACUAAUCACACAAUUAAUUAUGCUGGAAGGAGUAAAACCUUCGCUGCACCUGGCACACAAUCAAAACAACUUGCCAAGUUUUACAUUAAAGUUAAAAAUUGCUAGGAGUUACCAUUAUAACAUGUAAUUGAAACUACUGGAAAUAAAUUUAUAUGCUAGGUGUGCAGGAACAGUAAAACGUGUUUUAGUGUAAGACUAUAAGAAGGCAUGGAAAUGUAAAUUCUUGCCUAGGGUUAAAGCCUUGUUUCGAAUUAGACAGAAUAAAGCUAAAAAUUUGAAUAAGUGGUGGCAAGACUGUCAAAAUUAAUCUUGCAAAAAUUCUGUGUGUGAACAUAUGGACUAAAUUCGAAAAGGUAUUAUAUGGCUUUUCUGUAAAUUGAACAUUGAAAUAAAGGCACAAUAAGGUACUCUUAAGGCACGAAUCUGUGCUAGCAAAAUUUUUAAAGGGUUAUAGAAAGUUUUUGCUUUUUAUAAAUUUCUGAGUCAUCAUUUUGGCAAAAUAAAUAAUUUAUGAUAAUCUGGAAUUCUAUUUCCUAACAUCAAGUAUUUUAAAUCUCUAACACUUAACAGGCUUCCCAAAAUCAAACCUCAGUUUCAAAAUUGUCUUUCCUCACCCCUGGCUUUUGGAUGCUUCAGAGGGCCCCUGGAGUAUCCAAAAGAGGUAAACAGGAUUAUUUGACAUGUUUAGGUACAUGGGAUUGCCAAAAUGGUGUUCAAUUAUCUUUAGGUUAAAUUUUGGUGAAUGAUACUAACGUAAGUUCCAAAAUUGUAUGGGAUUUCUAAAAUUCUAAUGUCUAAAAUAUAUGCUAUUAACCAUGAUUAAGGUUAUGUUAAUUUAUUGUAAACUGCAGAGAUAACCAAACUUCCUUUUCAAUUGUGUUUCCAACUGUAACUACCCUGGACAUUUUGUUAUUCACAGAAGAUCAUUGUCUUGUUUUAAUCCUUUUCAAAAGAUGGUUUAUAGUAAGCUAUAGGACUUGGACAGGUGCUCUCAAAUACAGGUUUCUGAUAACUUAGGAGAUUGUGACAAUGGAAUAAAAGAAAAAUGUACAGGACUCAUGAAGAGCUAAAAUCUUGACAAGUAUCAAGCAAAACAAGGAGUUAACUAAAUGACAGACUGAAUUCAGAAUGCUGAACCAAUCUUUUUAACUUUUGCUUGGAAUAUUGCUAAUCCUUGUUUUGUUUUUCAGAGUCAAGGAAACUUAUUUUGAACUAUUUAUGGCCUUUAAUAAUUGAGUAAGUUAUACUCCUGUGGACAAAAUUUGGAGUAUGUUUGUUUCUCUUUGCCUGGUUCCUGUAGAAUUUGGAAACUAUCGUGAGUAUUCUCAAUUUAUGGCAAUAUAGUUGUUUGCAUCAAUGCAAUUAAGAAUCCAUUUUCUUUUGCAAGAGAAACUGGUUUUUCUCUUUUUAGAGAAAAACUCAAUUUAGAGAAACUGGUUGUUUUACCAAGGCUUUGACUAGAAGGGUAUGCUUCCCUUUAAGGAGUCAAGCUCAACUUGCAGAGCCAAUAAAAGGCCCUUGAGAAAACUGGCCUCAUACCCUUGUCUACACAGUCCCUGUACAGGGUUCCUGGCCUGUGGUUAGUAAAGCAUGUCACUUUCUAACAGGCCCAGGAGCUCCACGUUUAUUUUGGGACCUUUAGAGGAGAGGAUCAUCCAACUCACAGGUAUUUGAGGAUACAAACCCAUGGCUGGCCUUGGCUUCAAAGGUCUUGUAAACCCAUGGCUGGGCUCAGCUUAAAAGGUCUUAUCUGAGAUUCCUUGUGGAACAGAGUUUCAUCAAAGCCAGUCUAAAAGGCCUAUGUAGAAAUAGUUAUUCUUGCUGCACUUUAUGCAAAUAAUCAGGCCAAGUAUAAGCCUAAAUUUAUUUUGCAAACAACACAGUCUUCUCAUUUUUUUUAACAAAAAUGAGGACCUGAGAGAUAGAAAUUAUGUUUCAAAACUUACAUCUGUCAUUAAAUUCUAAACUCAUUAGUUAUUUUUAAGUUUUUGCCUGCAUUUUAGACUAACCCUACCUGGUUCUGUAAACCAACCAGCAAUCUCUGGCUGUAGCUCAGAAAGAACAAAAGGGAUGGGUAAUGUAGAAAUAUGGAUCAAUAUUCUAGUUCUAAACAAUUGUCCUGCAAAUCCUAUCAGGUGAUGGGAAUAAAUAGGAUGCCCAUCCCUGGAGGUUUUUUUUUUUUUUUUGGGAAAGUAAGACCAGGAGUGUUAACCAAAGCCAAGCACCACACACCCAAAUCUUAGAAAGCACAACUAUAGCCACCAGUUAUCUGGCCAUGUCACAAGACACCCUUUUUUCUCCCUUGUUAGAGGAGGACUCAAUUCCACAGCUCACCUUAGCAUUUGGAUUACGAUAAGGAGUCCACGCAAACCCCCUGAGACAAAUUUUUGUCUGAAACUCAAUGUCAAGCUUCAAGUCAAAGCUCUAGGAAAGAAAACUGUAUCUGAGGGAUCCAGAGGCAGAUAAUAACAGAAAUUAAAACGCACAACACAGGUGAACAUGGCUGAUUGCUGCCAAUUAAGCCAAGCUUCCCAUUUCAUGGAUAAAGCUCACACUAGUAUCACACUUAUCCAUAAAUGAAGUCUAGGGAAUUCAAGGCUAUUGACUGCAGAGGAUAUUGGGCAUAUGUGGGUAAGAGCAGAUCCUCCCACCUACUAGGCCCCCUGUUAAUAUGGUGAAAGCUGCUUUAACGCUUAUGUGUGGCGCCCUGUCGCAGUCACCAGGACUCAGGGAUACAAGGUCAGAACAAAGAAAGAGGAAGGCCUCACUUUCCCUCCCUCACAUACCCCAAGUUUUUGCUAGAAAGAGAAAGAAACCAGGGUCACCUGCUGCACUCUUUCUAGAGGAGUAGCCAUUCAUCUUCAGUCUGUAACUGCUUUCAAAUGCAUCCUGAACCCCUGGGACUCCUUUGAAAAUGAGUGUUUUUUUUUCCUUCCUCCUCUUCUGUCCCCUCUUUACUGAUAAGUAAUUGUGUCUCCGUACUACAGGACACUCCCCUCAGAUGCAUCCUCUAAACUAGAAACAGUUAACUUCCCAAACCUUAAACUGGUUGCCUUAGGAUUGGGCUCAGUGGAAGAAAACCCAGAAACCUGACAUGCUCCCAAACGGGCCUUUGGCUUCUCUUUCCCUGUGCAAACUGGCCAUCCCACUCCAAAUGGUCAUGCAGUUGAAGCCUUGGAUGCUGGCCCCUUCUGCCAAGGACCCUUACAUAGACCUCUGAGGGAGCUCUGACUACCAUUUCCUCAAAACAGUGCCCCCUGUCAGCAGGAAGCAGUUAAGAUUGAUCUUCAUCCUUAUCCUUACUCUGAUGGCAGUGACAUGUACUUCUUCAGAGGGAGGAAUGAUAGCUGCAGGAGGAAAAUAACGGUGAAUAUCCCCAGAGAAUCUCCCACCGGCCUGCGUGAUGGAGGGAUGGGGUGGAGUCUCGGGAAAUUUGCGCUGUUUGCACUGGGGGAGGCUGGCCCCUUCUGUUCCUGGGUAGAACCUGGGAUUCAAACUGUGAAAUGGGGCCCCGUUAACAGGAACUUCUCUCACUUUUCUGAGAGGUUUUCUUCCUUUUCACACAAUAAAUUCCAUUCCCUCUCCCCUUCAAAGUGUCUGUGUGCCUAACUUUUCCUGGUCGUGUGACAAGAACCUGGCUUUUUUUCCUACAACACUGGCCUCAGGUGACCCACCCGCCUCAGCCUCCGAAAGUGCUAGGUGUGAGCCACCGCUCCCAGCCUGCAGCAGUUUUUGACUUAUUGCAACCACCAGACACACCAUUAACUCCCAACACUCUUAUUCCUUGAAAAGGUAAAUAAUUUUAGAGCUGGGCAUGGUGGCUCACACCUGUAAUCCCACACUUUGGAAGGCUGAAGAGGGUGGAUCGCCUGAGAUCAGGAGUUCCAGACCAGCCUGGCCAACAUGGUGAAACCCCGUCUCUACUAAAAAUACAAAAUGUUACCUGGGUGUGGUGGCGGGCGCAUGUAAUCCCAGCUACUGUGUCCGGAAUUGGCGGGUUCUUGGUCUCACUGACUUCAAGUAUGAAGCCGCGGACACUUGUGGUGAGUGUUACAGUUCUUAAAGAUGGUGUGUCCAGAGUUUGUUCCUUCUGAUGUUCAGACGUGUCUGGAGUUUCUUCCUACUGCUGGGUUUGUGGUCUCGCUGACUUCAGGAGUGAAGCUGCAGACCUUCGCGGUGAGGGUUACAGUUCAUAAAGCUGGCACUCCAGAGUUGUUCGUCCCUCCCGGUGGUCUCCCUUCGUGGUCUCGCUGUCUUCAGGAGUGAAGUGCAGACCUUCGCAGUGAGUGUUACAGCUCAUAAAGAUUAGCGCAGCCCCAAAAAGUGAGCAACAGCAAGAGUCACUGAGAAGAGCGAAAGAACAAACCUCCCACAGACUGGAACUGGACCCCAGCAGGUUGCUGGUGCUGACGCGGGUGGCCUGCUUUUAUUUGGCCCCACCCACAUCCUGCUGAUUGGUCCAUUUUACAGAGAGCUGAUUGGUCCAUUUUACAGAGUGCUGAUUGGUCCGUUUUACAGAGUGCUGAUUGGUCCGUUUUGACAGAGUGUUGAUUGGUGCAUUUACAAACCUUUAGCUAGACACAGAGUGCUGAUUGGUGCAUUUACAAUCCUUUAGCUAUACACAAAAGUUCUCCAAGUACCCUACCCGAUUAGCUAGACACAGAGUGCUGAUUGGUGCAUUUACAAACCUAUAGCUAGACACAGAGCCCUGAUUGGUGCAUUUACAAUCCUUUAGCUAGACGGAAAAGUUCUCCAAGUCCCCACCUGACCCAGAAGCCCAGCGGGCUUCACCUCUCACUGCUGGAGAGGCUGAAGUGCCGCUGACAUGGCUUUCUUAUUUGCCAUGCAAGCUUAAAAAAGGAGAAAUAAGGGGCAUGCUCUUCACGGGGCCAGCUCUUAUCUGGUGGGAUGAAGAGUUACACAGCUCCGUGUUAUCCUAACUGGGCAGCCUUCCCUGGCACCUCUCAGGCUAGCUGAAUGCCUUUUCUCCUUCUUUGUCAUCCUAGUAUGACACUGUAUUAUGAUGGCCUGUUUGUGUGUCCAGCCCUCUAAUAGGUGAGCUCUUUUAAGUCAGUGAUUUUUAUUAAUAACUUUAAUAAUCCUGAUGCCUCGCACACUGCACAAAAUUUAAUAAUGUAACUGUGGGACCAGAACAAACUGGGCCUACUCUCAUGACAACAACAUGUCAAGUUACCUUGUAGGUAUAACAGAGCGAAAUAACUGCAUGUCAUGUAGCCCAAGGAUGCUCAAGGGAAAAAGCUUUGACCUCUGAUAAUGUCCGUAACCAGCCAAUUUUCUCAGAACCAAGACUAGGAUAUGACCAGAACCUGAAUACUGGAACUCUUUCAGAAGCAAGAGGUUCAUUGGCCUGGAAGAUCUUGUGCUAAGAUCUGUCUCAGCAUACUUCCAAUCAGACCCUGUCAAGUCAGCAUUCCUAAAUUCUAUCCCUAGCCUCUGAUCCCUUAAAACUUUCCCCAGAUCCCAAGUCAGGGAGCCAGAUUUGAACCUACUUCCUGUCUUCCUGCUUGAUGAUUUUGCAAUAAAGCCUUCCUUUUCUCAAAAGCCGGUGCCAUGGUUCUUGGUUUCUGUCUACAUCAGGCAGAGAGCCCAUUUGCUCAAAAACAGUAAAAGCUCAUUAACUGAGAACUGAGUAGAAGGAAAAUAGGGAGGAAGAAGAAAGAGAAAAGAAGGGAGGAAAAAAGGAAGGAAGGAAAGAAAGAAGGGAGGAGGAAAAGGGAGAACAAAAGAAGAGAAAAUAAGUAAACGGGAAAGAGUGGGAACUUCAGGGCAUUGUGCCAAACCUCUGAUCCCAAGGCAUCAUCCUGGCCUGACGUGAACUUGAAAUUCUCUGGACACGGGAAGCCAGGACCUCUGUGCACUAACCUUGCUAAAAUUCUCUCCUGCCUCUGCACUUUGCCAAAGUUGAAUUGAAUAGCAUCCAUUCUUUUCAGUUUCCACCCUAGAGCAACAUUUUCAGUAGUAGAGUUAUUCUGGGUUCUACAGGCAACAGAAAUCAAUGUCUGCCUCGUCUCUUUGACCUUGCAUGUGAAGGGGAGCUUUUUUAGGUGAUGCAAGUACAAAGGGAGAGUGAAGCCAUAGGCAAUUUGGACUGCUAAAUAUAGAGUGGCGCUUUUAAAAAUGCUGUCUUGGCCGCUCUGAGUGUCUGGAAAGACCUGCCGGUCACUGGCAAGGACAAAGGAUCAGCUUUGACUGGACUAUCUGAGGAUUCAAGGACCUAUAUGGAAUUGAGAAAGAUUAUUUGUAGCAUAUCUUUGGAAAUUGCCAUGGCCAAUUAUAUGCAUCUUGCCUCCUGGCAUAAUUUCCCUGCAGGUGACCAAUAUAACUGUUUUUAUCCCUGUUUCACAGCAGCCCUGAAAGCAGCCUGGAGUGACUAAUCUGGUUUUAUAAAAAAGUGUUGGGGCUCAGGAAAUGACUUCCCAAAAUAUGGAACUAAACAAAAAGUCUCAAGAUCCCUCUGACCUUUCCCCGACCCCCAUCUCUCACACCUUUGUCUCUCCCAAAGCAGAUGACGAGGCUAUUCUCUGAAGUUCCCUUAUCUGCCCAGAAACCGGACUUCCAAAGAGAAAUCCAAUUGCCUGCAAUCCCUUCCUGGAAAUUUCAUUAAGCAGGGAAGAUUAAAACUCAUCACAGAGAAAAAGACUAAAAAUUAAACACCAAACCUAGAGCUCAGACAAACUUUGAACUGUGUUUGUUCUCCAGUCCCAUUCAAUUCCCUAAGAGAAUUAUUUAGUUAUCCCUAUCUGAAUAUUGGGUGCAUUCAUUCUCCCUAAAAUUUAUUUACUCCUGCAUUCCCCUCACCCCUUCUCCUAUGAAGAAAGGUUUAUAAGCACCUGGACCCCAUUGGAUUAUUGAAUAAUCAUUCUCCUGCAAUUCUCCCAUGCUAUACAUGUUAAAAUAGAUGUGUAUGCCUUUUUCUCCUAUUAAUCUGCCUUUUUUUAGUUCAUUUUCAAUGAACCUUCAGAGGAUGAAGGGGAAAGCUGUCCUUGCUCACCCCUGCACAAGGUAAACAACAACUGUGAGCUAGUGUCAUUGCCCUGGGCAUAGCUGCCAUAUAAGGGCAUCCUGGGGAAGAGCACGUUGCUAUGAGAAGAGAAAGUGUUACGAAAUGAUAGAGCAUGACAAAAAAAGAGCAGAUUGUUCAUAAUGGUAAUAAAUUGCCUAGAAGCCAGUAAAGUGAACUCUUCAGCUAAAGUCACUCUAGGCCACACAGUGUCACUCAGUCAGGUCCCUUUUAGGUAAUGGCAGAAACUGGAAAUUGACAAGGAGUUAUUUCUCUGUGAUACAGCUUUUACCUCCUAGCCUGUCAUGUGACUCCUACUCCAAAGUCAGGAAAACUGGUUGCUGAAUCAAAGCCAAUGAGCUGAGCUUCCUCGGAGGUCUCCACAGGUGAGUUGGGCAUAUGAAUAAAGAGAAGAGCCUGAUUUGGAAUUGCAUCAUAUCCAAACGCCUUUAACAAGAUAGACAAAGCUUGCUUUUCAUCAAAAUAAAAAUCUGCCACAUGCUUCUAUCCUUGUGUCAUGGUACUAAAUUGUGUACAAAGAAAUAUGCACAGGCAUUUUCUUGCUUUCUUUCUUUUUUUUUUUCUUCUGUUUUUGAGACAGGGUCUUACUCUGUCGCCCACGUUGGAGUGCAGUGUCAUGAUCUUGGCUCACUGCGACCUCCGCCUCCCAGGUUCAGGUGAUUCUCCUGCCUCAGCCUCCCAAGUAGCUGGGAUUACAGGCGUCCGCCACCACGCCCAGCUAAUUUU
rnacentral:lncRNA from 10 species